rnacentral:tRNA from 1 species
AUUUAAAUAAUUUAAAAAAAAAAUAUUGAUUUGUGGAGUCAAAAAUAUGAGAAAUCAUUUUAAAUU